UACGGAGGGUGCGAGCGUUUGUUCGGAAUCACUGGGCGUAAAGCGCGUGUAGGCGGCCCACUAAGUCUGAUGUGAAAGCCCGGGGCUCACCCCCCGGAAGUGCAUUGGAAACUGGUGGACUCGAGUCCCGGAGAGGAGAGUGGAAUUCCUGGUGUAGCGGUGAAAUGCGUAGAAUAUCGAGGAGGAACACCGGCGGCGAAGGCGG
rnacentral:rRNA from 1 species